UGCAGAAUCCCGUGAACCAUCGAGUCUUUGAACGCAAGUUGCGCCCGAAGCCUUCUGGCCGAGGGCACGCCUGCCUGGGUGUCACACAUCGUCGCCCCCCAAAAUCCCGAUAUCUCGCAAGAGACAAUCGGGAAUAGGAUGGGCGGAAAAUGGUCUCCCGUGCGCUCCCGUUCGCGGUUGGCCCAAAAAUGAGUUCCUGGCAAAGCAAAGCCACGACCAGCGGUGGUUGUAAGACCCUCGGUACAAGUCGUGAGCCUUGCAUUGCGCGUAGGGACAUGUUGACCCUGAACGUGAUCGAGUAACAUCGGUACACUCACAAAGUGACCCCAGGUCAGGCGGGACUACCCGCUGAAUUUAAGCAUAUCAAUAAGCGGAGGAAAAGAAACUAACAAGGAUUCCCCUAGUAACGGCGAGCGAACCGGGAAAUGCCCAGCUUGAAAAUCGGAUGCCCCAGGCGUUCGA
rnacentral:rRNA from 1 species